rnacentral:rRNA from 1 species
UGGGGGAUAUUGCACAAUGGGCGAAAGCCUGAUGCAGCGACGCCGCGUGGGGGAUGAAGGCUUUCGGGUUGUAAACCUCUUUCGCUAUCGAACAAGGCCCGCUUAGGGUGGGUUGAGGGUAGGUGGAGAAGAAGCGCCGGCUAACUACGUGCCAGCAGCCGCGGUAAUACGCAGGGCGCGAGCGUUGUCCGGAAUUAUUGGGCGUAAAGGGCUUGUAGGCGGCUUGUUGCGCCUGCUGUGAAAACGCGGGGCUUAACUUCGCGCGUGCAGUGGGUACGGGCAGGCUUGAGUGUGGUAGGGGUGACUGGAAUUCCAGGUGAAGCGGUGGAAUGCGCAGAUAUCUGGAGGAACACCGAUGGCGAAGGCAGGUCACUGGGCCAUUACUGACGCUGAGGAGCGAAAGCAUGGGUAGCGAACAGG